ACAUGUUGCCAGAAUGCCUACCGAAAGGGCUUGUACUCGGUGCUAUGUGGAUCAUCACAUAGAGCUCGAGCUUGAAGCUUGUCUGCCUGCGCGUCCACCAUACAGAUUGUCUGGUCCCAAUAUGCAAGAAUUAAAAAAGCAAUUGGCAGAGUUUGGUUGAAGCGGCUUAUAUGCCUCCUUCUAGAUCACCUUAUGUUGCCCUGGUGCUCUUUGAGAAAAAGGAUGGUUCGUUAUGAGUGUAUGCAGAUUUUAGAGCUCUUAACAAGCUCACUGUAAAGAAUAAGUAUCUGUUGGCUCUAAUUGCAGGAAAAAUUGAUCAGUUGGCUAAGGCGAGGUAUUUCACGAAGUUGGAUAUUCACCAAGGUUAUUAUCAGAUCCGGAUUGCUACUAGUGACAGAGAGAAGACGGCUAUAACAACUCUCUAUGGUUCCUAUGAGUUCUUGGUGAUGCCUUUCGUCCUCACUAAUGCUCCAGUUACAUUCAGCACUCUGAUGAAUGAUGUGUUUAGGAGCUUGUUGAAUCGGUGCGUCGUGGUUUACCUCGAUGACAUCUUGAUCUACAACAACUCGUUGGAGGAACAUAAGCAACAUUUGGCCAAAGUCUUUGAGUUGUUGAGACAGAAUUCCUUGUAUGUCAAGCGGGAAAAGUGUUCUUUCGCUCAGACUGAGAUCCAAUUCUUGGGUCAUAUUGUUGGACAUGGUUUCUUGAAACCGGAUCCUGAGAAGUUGGGAGCAAUUCAAGAAUGGGAGCCGCUGCGAAAUGUCCAUGAGGUGAGCCAGUUCCUUGGUCUAGCCAACUAUUGCAGAAAGUUCGUGGUGGGUUACUCCAAGAUUGCUAGUUCGCUGACAGACUUGCUGAAGAAGGAUAGAAGAUUGAAAUGGGGUCCCAAACAGAAAGAUACUUUUGAAAACAUUGAAGGAAAAGCUAAUAGUUGAACAUGUCUUGGUGUUGCCAAAAUAUGGUGAGCCUUUUGAAGUUCACACCGAUGCCUCGAAUUUUGCCAUUGGAGGUGUGCUAAUGCAGAACGGACACCUAGUAGCCUACGAGUCGUGAAAGUUGAAUGGUCAAGAGCGUAAUUAUUCUGCAUAUGAGAAAGAGAUGACUGCCAUAGUCCAUUGCUUUAGGACUUGGUGACACUAUUUGUUGGGAUCGCACUUUGUGGUGAUGAUUGACAAUGUGAGCUCCACCUAUUUCAAGACUCAAGCAAAAUUGACUCCGAAGAAGGCAAGGUGGCAAGAGUUCUUGGCGGAAUUCAAUUUCGACCUGCUAUAUAAUCCGAGGAAGCACAAUGUUGUAGCCGAUGCUUUGAGUCGCAAGACUCAGUUGCAUGCCCUUGGGAGUGAAUCUGGGUUGAGUACUUCUCAAGCGGGUGUUGCGGAGCAUGUUUUGGAACAUAUCAAGGAAGACUUGCAAGCUCAUCAGAUUGGGUUGCAAGUGAAGGUGGGUCAUACUCGUCGCUUUUAUCUGCAAGAUGGAAUACUCUAUUUCAUGGGAAAUCAAGUUUAUGUGUCGAAGUUGAAGGAUUUGUGAAGGGAGCUUUCGUCUAAGUGCCAUGACUCACUCUAGGCGGGUCACCUUGAGCUGAAAAGAACGUUGGCUCUAUUGGAAAGAGGAUUUUACUAGCCAAAUAUGAGGGAGGAUGUGGAAAGUUACGUCUGCACCUGCAUCACAUGCCAAUAAGAUAAGGCGGUGAUGUAGCUUCCGAGUGACCUUUUGUAGCCUCUCUCAGUUCCAGUGCACCCUUGGGCCAGCAUUAGCAUGGACUUCAUCACACAACUUCCUGCGGUGAAAGGGUUUUCUAGUAUCAUGGUGGUUGUUGAUCGGUUUUCAAAGUAUGUUGUUUUUGUCCCUUGUAAGUCACCCUGCAUAGUCGAACUUACUGCAGAGCUCUUUUUCAAAAAAUGUGGUUAAGUAUUGGGGAAUCCCGUUGAGCAUUGUGUCAAAUCGUGGUCCAAGGUUUACUUCAAAUUUAUGGCUUGAACUCUUCCGAUUGGUCGGAACGAAACUCUUGAUGUCUACGAGUUAUCAUCCUCAGACGGAUGGGCAAACCAAAAGAAUCAAUUCCAUUCUAGAAGAUUACCUACACCAUUUUGCCCAUGCGGAUCAAAAGAACUGUCUAAGUUUGCUUGAUGUGGCGUAGUACAGUUGUAACAUGCAGAAGUUUGGUUCAAGUUAGUUCUCUUCGUUCGAGUUGGCUACUGGCCAAUAACCCCUCGCCCCGCACAGUCUAUUGGGUGGUUAUAGAGGUGCAAGUUUGGAUGCUACCGAAUAUGUGAAGCAAUUCAAAGAGCGAAUGGACCUGGCCAGGUAUAACCUGACUAAAGCAGUCGAGCGGAUGAAGAAGUAUGUUGAUGCAAACAUAAGGUUGGUUGAGUUUGAAGUGGUGACAAUGUGUUGCUCAAGAUGGAAUGGACCCGCAGCAGUUUAAGGCACCUAAAGGUUUAAGUGCAUCCAUGAUUCAAAAGUGGGAUGGGUCGUUCGAAGUGGUGCAAAAGAUUGGGAAGGUGGCUUACAAGUUGAAUUUGCCUCUGCAUAUGAAGGUGCACCUAGUCUUUCAUGUGAGUCAAUUGAGGAGACAUUACGUUGGUUCUAAUGAACAUGUCUGAAAUGGCCCAGCUAAUGUAAUUGACCGACCUGACUUGGAAAUAGAGAAAGUGUUGGCAAUGAGAAGUCGUGGUUAUGGUGUGAAGUCGUAUAAGGAGUUCCUGGUUUGGUGGAAAGGCAAGUCGGAAAAGGAAGCAACGUGGGUGCAUGUCGAGUCUUUGUGGCGUCAUGAGGAGAAAGUGCUCGAGCUCCUGCAAGGGAGCUCAACCCAGCCCAACUAAGUUUAGCAAAAGUGCCCUUGCGCUAAGAUGUUUUUGCUGGGAGCAUCAGCAGAGCGCUGGCGCCAAGGGCAUUGCUUGAAUUGGGUGGGGGAGAAUGUAUGAGGUUAUCGCAAUGAGACCUCGAAAUGCAUUAACACUGUUGAGCUUGAUGAGUCCGAACAGUCCGACUUGACAGCCUAACUCGUCUAACUUACUCCUGAACUUCCCGAAUCAGUCUGAAUGCAACCCGACUUGGUGGAUCUCGUUGGAGGCGGAUCUCUUGGUGUGCAAUGGCCCAGAAUUGCCUGAAGUCCCGACCAAGUGGAUAAUGUUGCCGAGUUGGAAUGACAGUUGUCGAGGAUGAAAGAAUGCCUCAGAUGAACCGACCAAGCCCCGAGAAAAGCGGAGUGGUACUAGGCAAGAAGGCGACUCACUUCCACUCGAUGUGCAGAGGGCGUAUUCUUAUUGGAGCGCUUUAUAUGGGCCGAGCUGGAGUUUGAGCCGCUCGAUUGCGAUCCGACCUAUGCACGCAUGGGUUUUCGUAGCCAUCCGAUGCGAUUGUGUUUCUUCUGGGUUUGGAGUGCGAAUUCCAUAAAGGCGGAUGUCUUCACUCUUUCUGAGGCACCAAGUCAAUGUGAGAGCGAUGAGUUCUGAGAGUUCUUGAGUGCUUGUAACAUUUCGUGUAUAAUUUCUAAGAAGGGGAAUCUUGGGAAUUCAAGUCGAGUGACUUGCUGCAAAGGGUUUGUAGGCAAGAAUUAGACGGUUUAACUUUGUGUAGUCUUGUUUACGCUGGUAAGCUUUCUCGGCGUAGCCAGACCUACCAUGCGAUUUGGAAGUUGCAUUGUAAUUCUCAGUGUUCUGAUUAAUGGAUAAUGAACUUCUUGGCCCUCAAUUUUGUGUCAUGGAAAUUCUUUGUGAGUUUCUUGUGCUAGUUUGGUUUGGUGAGGCAUAGUCGGAUUUGGACGCUCCUCGUAUCCACAUUGGACGAGUUGGGCGACGAAGUCUACGCCGAAGGCGGGUUGCAGAGUGCAGCCCCUUUACAACAUCUACCUUUUUAAUCUUUAGUUGCUUCCAUGCAGUGUAAUACAACUUUUUAAUUGCAAAGCGUUUCAAACUAAGUAGCGGAUUCCAUCAGUUGGUUGGAUUUUCACGAAUAACAGCUGGAUUAGAAUACUCAUCACAAAAAAAAUCCUCUAUAUUAACAUACGUUUCUCUUGUUUCUGGUUGUUGAUAUGCAUUGUAAUAGAUUUUUGUAAUUGCAGACAGUUAAUGAAGCCUGGUUGCCAUCUAUCACAAUAAAAAAUUAUAAUUGAAAAUUCCUUUA